CCUACGGGAGGCUGCAGUGAGGAAUAUUGGUCAAUGGGCUUACGCCUGAACCAGCCAAGUCGCGUGAGGGAAGACUGCCCUAUGGGUUGUAAACCUCUUUUGUCAGGGAGCAACGCCGGCUACGUGUAGCCGGACUGAGAGUACCUGAAGAAAAAGCAUCGGCUAACUCCGUGCCAGCAGCCGCGGUAAUACGGGGGAUGCGAGCGUUAUCCGGCUUUAAUGGGUUUAAAGGGUGCGUAGGCUGAAUGCCCAGUCAGCGGUAAAAUCGCGGGGCUCAACCUCGCUCAGCCGUUGAAACUGGUGUUCUUGAGUGGGCGAGAAGUAUGCGGAAUGCGUGGUGGAGCGGUGAAAUGCAUAGAUAUCACGCAGAACUACGAGUGCGAAGGCAGCAUACCGGCGCCCAACUGACGCUGAAGCACGAAAGCGUGGGUAUCGAACAGGAUUAGAUACCCCAGUAGUC
rnacentral:rRNA from 1 species